rnacentral:rRNA from 1 species
UACGUAGGGGGCAAGCGUUGUCCGGAUUUAUUGGGCGUAAAGAGCGUGUAGGCGGCCAUGUAGGUCCGUUGUGAAAACUCGAGGCUCAACCUCGAGACGCCGAUGGAAACCAUGUGGCUAGAGUCCGGAAGAGGAGAGUGGAAUUCCUGGUGUAGCGGUGAAAUUCGUAGAUAUUGGGAAGAACACCGGUGGCGAAGGCGGCGCUCUGGACCGAGACUAACGCUGAGGCGCGAAAGCGUGGGGAGCGAACAGG